rnacentral:rRNA from 1 species
ACCUGUGACCAAAUUACCCUGAAUGUCCCUGAUUUCUCAGAAGCUAAGCAGGCUUGAGCCUAGUUAGUUUUUUGGACGGGACAUUGCCUGGGAAUACCAGGCUUUGUAGGCU